UCUGGUUGAUCCUGCCAGUAGUAUAUGCUUGUCUGAAAGAUUAAGCCAUGCACGUGUACGUACGCAGGCCGGUACAGUUGAACUGCGAAUGGCUGAUUAAAUCAGUUAUGGUUCCUUUGAUCGCUCCAUCUGUUACUUGGUUAACUGUGGUCAUUCUAGAGCUAAUACAUGCCAACGAGCGAGGACCUCCCGGGAUGCAAGCAUUUAUCACACCAAGAACAAUCCGGUGCUGAUCGCACAUCCCUGUGAUGGCGACGAUGCAUUUGGAUGUCUGCCCAAUGGUACUUUCUGUGCCUACUAUGAUGACCACGGGUAAUGGGCAAUCGGGGUUCGAUUCAGGAGAGGGAGCCUGAGAAACGGCUACCACAUCCAAGGAAGGCAGCAGGCGCGCAAAUUACCCACUCCCGACUCCGGGAGGUAAUGAUGAAAAAUAACAAUACAGGACUCUUUCAAGGCACUGUAAUUGGAAUGAGUACACUUUAAAUCCUUCAACGAGUACCCAUUGGAGGGCAAGUCUGGUGACCGUAGCCGCGGUAAAUCCAGCUCCAAUAGCGUAUACUAAAGUUGCUGCAGUUAAAAAGCUCAUAGUUGGAUCUUGGGAUCGAGCUGGCAGUCCGCCACGAGGUGAGCUACCGCCUGUCCCAGGCCCUGCCUCUCGGCGCCCCCUUGAUGCUCUUGACUGAGUGACCUGGGGGUCCGAAGCAUUUACUUUGAAAAAAUUAGUGUGUUGAAAGCAGGCCGGUCGCCUAAAUACUUCAGCUAGGAAUAAUGGAAUAGGACUCUGGUUCUAUUUUGUUGGUUUUCGGAAUCAGGGACCAUGAUUAAGAGGGCCGGCAUGGGGCAUUCGUAUUUUGCCGCUACAAGUGAAAUUCUUGGACCGGCGCAAGACGAACCAAAGUGAAAGCAUUACCAAGAAUGUUUUCAUUAAUCAAGAACGAAAGUCUGAGGUGCAAAGGCAAUCUGAUAACGUUGUAGUUCCAACCAUAAACAAUGCCGACUAGCGAUCUGGCGGCGUUCUUCCCUUGACCUGCCGAGCAGCUUCCGGGAAACCAAAGUCUUUGGAUUCCAGGGGGAGUAUGGUUGCAAAGCUGAAACUUUAAGGAAUUGACGGAAGGGCACCACCAGGAGUGGAGCCUGCGGCUUAAUUUGACUCAACACCGGAAACUUCACCUGGCCCGGACAUAGAAAGGAUUGACAGAUUGAAGGCACUUUCUCGAUUAUGUGGGUGGUGGUGCAUGGCCAUUCUUAGUUGGUGGAGCGAUUUGUCUGGUUAAUUCCAAUAACGAACGAGACUUCUCCAUGCUAACUAGUUACGCGACCCCCCCAGUUGUCGGCGUUCAACUUCUUAGAGGGACAAGUGGCAUUCAGCCACACGAGAUCGAGCAAUAACUGGUCUGUCAUGCCCUUAGAUGUCCGGGGCUGCCCGUGUUCUACACUGAACGGAUCAGCGUGUGUCAACCCUUCACCGACAGGUGCGGCUUACCUGCUGAAUCCCAUUCUUGCUAGGGAUUGGGGAUUGCAAUUAUCUCCCAUGAACGAGGUAUUCCCAGUAAGUGCGGGUCAUAACUUUGCAUUGAUUAAGUCCCUACCCUUUGUACACACCGCCCGUCGCUACUACAGAUUGGAUGGUUUAGUGAGGUGCUCGGAUCGGCCCCGCCGGGGUCAGCAACGGCCCUGGCAGAGUGGCGAGAAGACAAUCAAACUGGACUAUCUAGAGGAAGUAAAAGUCUUAUGAGUUAGGUUAACCUGCCAGGG
rnacentral:rRNA from 1 species